UAUAGGAAGCAGAAUCAGGGUAAAUACAAUGUGCAGGUUGAUUGUGAUGGUCGAGUCAAGACUUUGAUGUGGACAAUUGGGGGAAGCAUCGAGCAGUUUAAGUGUUUUGGCGAUGCUGUCACGUUGGAUACCACAUACAAAACUAAUCUAUAUGACAUGCCAUUUGGUCUCUUCGUUGGUGUCAACAAUCUCUUCCAAAGCAUUAUUUUUGGAGGUGUGCUGAUGUGCGAUAAGAAAAUCGACACCUUCAAGUGGAUAUUUACAGAGUUCUUCCAUAUGAUAGGAGCUCCACAGCCGCGCACAAUCCUC
rnacentral:rRNA from 1 species